CGUAAAGCGCAUGCAGGUGGUUUGUUAAGUCAGAUGUGAAAGCCCGGGGCGUCAACCUCGGAAUAGCAUUUGAAACUGGCAAACUAGAGUACUGUAGAGGGGGGUAGGAAUUUCAGGUGUAGCGGUGAAAUGCGUAGAGAUCUGAAGGAAUACCGGUGGCGAAGGCGGCCCCCUCGGACAGAUACUGACACUCAGAUGCGAAAGCGUGGGGAGCAAACAGGAUUAGAUACCCUGGUAG
rnacentral:rRNA from 1 species